AUUGAACGCUGGCGGCAUGCCUUACACAUGCAAGUCGAACGGUAACAGGUCUUCGGAUGCUGACGAGUGGCGAACGGGUGAGUAAUACAUCGGAACGUGCCCGAGAGUGGGGGAUAACGAGGCGAAAGCUUUGCUAAUACCGCAUACGAUCUCAGGAUGAAAGCAGGGGACCGCAAGGCCUUGCGCUCACGGAGCGGCCGAUGGCAGAUUAGGUAGUUGGUGGGAUAAAAGCUUACCAAGCCGACGAUCUGUAGCUGGUCUGAGAGGACGACCAGCCACACUGGGACUGAGGCACGGCCCAGACUCCUACGGGAGGCAGCAGUGGGGAAUUUUGGACAAUGGGCGCAAGCCUGAUCCAGCCAUGCCGCGUGCAGGAUGAAGGCCUUCGGGUUGUAAACUGCUUUUGUACGGAACGAAAAGACUCUGGUUAAUACCUGGGGUCCAUGACGGUACCGUAAGAAUAAGCACCGGCUAACUACGUGCCAGCCGCCGCCGUAA
rnacentral:rRNA from 1 species